UUCUCUGUAAUUGUGGAUAGGUGCCUGUGAAGGAACAUUAACCUGUUCAACUUGUCAUGUCAUUCUAAGGAAAGAGGACUAUGACAGGUUACCAGAAAAGCCAACUGACGAAGAAUUAGACAUGUUAGACUUAGCGCAUGGCCUUUGUGAUACUUCCAGGUUAGGUUGUCAGAUAAUUUUGACUGAAGAUUUAAGUGGACUAGAGGUGCAAAUUCCAGCAACUGUGAAUGAUGCCAGAGAACGGUGAUGUUUUUUUUAUUCCGAGCAAUGUGAGCUCAUUUCACUCUGGGAUUUCACACAUUUUUAAUUGUGAAAUCAAGAUGUUAGAUAGGGCCGUUUUAGUUAUUAAAUCUGCGUAUACAUCCAGUGCACGCUCGUUAAUUCGAAAUUCAAGAGACCGUGGCUUGAGUUCGAAUUGGCGAGAUUUCAUAUUACAGAGAGUGGUGACAAAAAAUGUCGAAAUACAGAGAUUUUUUAAUUAGCUCUUAUCGUUCAAAGUGGUGAUGAUGGUUGUCAUUUUUUUUGCAGAAUUAAGAGGAGGAAGAUGGAAAACGACCAUUGUUAAUGAAAGUAGAAAAUUUGUAUGUCCAAGAUAUAGAUUUGUAAGUACAAAUCACAAGGUUUGUAAACAAGCUUGAUGAGAAAGCAAAAUCGGGAAAUCUACUUCGGAAAGAAGUCCGUUAUCUUGGACUGUGAGAGGGCAUCAUACCGCGCGGUCCAUGUUGCUUUUAACGCGGUUGUUGCAUGAUUUUUUUUUAAUUUAAGUUCUACAAGUUGGAGGUAUACUGAUUGUCAAGGUAUUUUUUUACAAAUUUUCUGAUAAUUGGAACUUGGAGAAAAAGCCCUGAAAAGUCAGGAACGAUUUGAAACGUGGUUCCAUCCCGCGCCUCGAAAUCACGUGACUCUGACGUCACAACGCACGGCCCUCGGGUUUUUGCUAUCUAAACUGCUUGCUAAUAUGAGUAUUGUAAAAAUUCAGGAAAAAUCGAGUUAUCCGACCAAACCCGCUUCGUUUAUCUUCAUGGAUACCUAAAGGUAAGAUAAAUAAUUUUCAGACUCAGUUUUUGGCUCUUUACAAUGAUUACUAGGUCGAAAAGUAAGUUAAAAUUACUCCUUUCCCCUUUUCUUCACGGAGCGUAGGAGCCGAGCGAAGGGCGGUGCGUAGCAAGCAGCAACCGGCCCUGCUCGGGUUCUUCCGGCAGCUCCGCUCAUCAUCGAAGCCACUCAGUGCUCGAGAUGAGCUCAACCUAACGUGACCACGACUAGAUAAACGCGCGGUCAAGAUGUGGGUGUGGGUAAUGGCGGUGAGGAGAGACUCUCAUGCGGUGUGAUGCGUAGUUUGACCGACUGUACAGCAGCCAAUGAAAAGUCUCUAUUUCCAACUUGAAUUUGAUGGAACUUCAGCGAGCUUUUUCGGGCUUUAGAACUCGAUUCUUGAUUUUUUAACGUUACCAUUGUUUUUGUCAUGUAAAGUUUUAUAGCUAUGAAAUUUUUAUUCUCAAAUCCCUCACCCAUCCAACAACCCCAUUGUUGAUAAUGCUCUGAGAACGUUGUCACUGAUAUCAAGCUGUUCGAGAUAGCAUCGUUAAAUUUCCAAAAGAGCAGCUGCUUGCUUUAAAGUAACAGCAUGUUGCAGCGUUGUCGUUUUUUCCACCGUGUCGUCUUCAUCUUUUUGGAUGUCUCAACCCUAUCGAUUAUUUCAGCAUCUGUGAGAGUGCCGCACACAUUAAGAUUAUCGUCUGAUGGAACGAAUUCCUCAUGCAAACGAGAUGAGGAGUUGUUUGACAGACUAGAGAUGGUUCCAUUCGACUAGAAUUGAGGGGAGCCAAGUUAAAGACAGCUGAGUAAUCGGAACACCAUCCCUUUUUUUGCCGAUGAGGAAGCAGAAGUUUUAUUUUUUUUCCUUCUGAGAUUCUUAUGGUUUGAAGAGGGCGGAAAAUUCUCAUUCACAAAUCCACAAUGCCCGAAACUGUUUUUAAUCGUUCCCUCCGUAAGAUUUGCUCACGCCUCAUGGGUCAUCCUCAUGGCAAUCAAAAUGACUUCUGACGGGUCUAUAUCCUCUUGAAUACACUCAAGCACCAAUCUCACAAUUUUAGUGCAGUAGAACAUCUCCAACUUCUUGAUUAUGCCUUGGUCUGAAGGCUGAAGCUUACUACUUGUCUGUGCAGGGAGAAGUUCAACUUCGAUAUGUUUUAACGUGGAUGAGACAGUAUGAGCCGUGCAACUGUCUAAACAGUAGCAUUUUACGGCCCUGUUCUAUCAUUUCAGCAUCCAUAUGGAAAGCACAUGGAAUAUAGAUUUGUAAUUUAAAAUAGAAAGCUAGCCAUCAUUUGCCCAAAAAUUAACAAUGCCCACCCAACUCUGAUGCGUGCACUAUUGUUUUUCCAGAAACCCUCCCACAGGAACGUUCUUGACUCGGCAUUGUUUAAACCCUUUCAUUAGCUUUUCCUCGAGCUGUGGUAAUUCGCAGUCUUUGGACCAUUACCGUUUUGUUGCACCACUAUGGCACUAAAGUUUUAUUUUUUCUUCGGUUUUCAUACUUUUUGAUGAAGUUGACGGUGGUUUAUUGUACGAUUUCGCGAUUUCAUCUUUUUUUGGCCAUCUUUAACGGCCUGUAAAACUUCUUCUUUUUUAUGUAAAAGUUAACUUGCCGUGCUUACUUAAUAAAUUAAACUCGCACCACCAGUGUAUCGCUCACGCACUGAUUACAUAGCUCCUCUUUUGAGGCGUGCGCCUGGAUAAUCAAGCAGCUGUUCAGACAUUCCUUUGCCAUCCACCAAGAGGACUUGGAAUGGGUCUAUUGCUCACAAGAGAUACAGUCAAAUAAAUUUACUCUUUACGUGUAAAAUUGCACGUAAAUAACGUUGAGUACGUCAAAAAAGUCUGAAACCCAUUCCUUAGUGCACAAUCUGCAUUGUUUGUAAUACGCUUUCUUAUGUUUCCUACGUCUGUGGACAGUUUUUCUCAGUCACCGCCGACCAGGUUUGCACAGGCUGAGGAGUAAGAUAAACUAAUGUGAGUAAUCAAAUGAGUUAACUUACAUUUCUAUCUUAUGAUUUCAAUUGUUCUCAAGCGUUUUUUUUUUUUUUUUUUUUUUCCUUUGACUUUCUUUAUUUUGCAAAAACAAAAGCUGUAAAUCAAUUCAAAUCUUCCGCACGGAGAGUUCUUAACAGUUCACGAGAUUGUUUGUUUAUUUAGGUUAUGUCUCUCUCGAGACAAACCUACCUGCCUUCAAGAGAAACCGCCUGCAUACGCGGUAAAUUUGAAUAGACGUGUUCAAGCAAUGCGGAUUUCAGACUAUUUUGAUGUGCUCAAUGUCAUUUUAAGCGAAUUCAUCGUUUAAAAAUGAACUCAUUUGGCUGUAUCUUUUGCAAGUAACAGACCCCGACUACAGCGUCCAGUGUGUCCAUUCGAAUUACAGAGCAUGUGGAGCUGAAUACUUCGAUGUACAGAGCUGAUUUACAAGCCGGCUUUGAGCUCAACAUUUUGAAAGAACGAGGGGACCAAAUACGUUGAAACUCUUUGAAUUAGAGAGUUUUUUCAAAGAUAUUAUCCUUGCCUUCGGAUUAUAACACUUUUCAGAUUGAAAAGCUUCGAAUGAGCGAACGUGCACUGUACUAACUCUCCGUGUAGCGCAAGUUUUGACACAAUACAUUGGUUUCAUUCAGUGUAUGUCGGCUUCCAUUUACUAUCAUCAAGAACGAAGAGGGGCUCUCAAAUAAAUAUUUCAAUUCUUUGCUACUGAUAUGAUCCAGGGUCUCUGUUAUAUACUGCAAGUUUAUGCACUCUGCGAUAAUGAGUGCAAGCGCAAUUCAAUUUGCCAACAAUUUCAAGAUUUUCGAAACACCUAUGUAGCCCAUAGUUCUUGAAUCAGAUGGGAAGAUUUAUCUUAAAGGCGCUCAGAAAAGCAACAAAGAUUCGUAGCAUUUUCAAAUGUUUAAUUAUCAAUUUUCCCCAUGCUCCUUGCCGAAGCAUGAACAAGAAGAGUAAUUUCUCCCAAAAGUCUAUGGAAAUUUUAUUCUCUUAAUGUCUUUGAAUCACAUCAAAAACCUACUUUUUUUUUAGUUGCAAAUUUUUAUUUUAGAAGAACACUCUCUCGUUUAUUCAUGCUUUUAAACCUGAAUGGUUCUCUUCUUUUGGAAUGGAAUCACUGGAUGUAAUAGAAUUUUAGUUAGAACUUCUAACCCGAACUUGGGUGGUUGUCAACUGAUACAUGAAGUACUAUAUCAUUUUGCUGGAAGCCAAAAGAUAGUAUUCCUAAUGUUUCUCCAUUUCUUAGCAGUUCCUCUUGUUUUUAUCCCGUAUGCACCAUCAUAGUGGUUAUUGCUGUAAUUAUUCUGUUAUUUAGGUAUGUUCUUUGUGUUACUUACUUAUUUUAUCUUACAAAAUCGUUUUUUAAUACUUGUUUUUUUAUCCUGACGCUGGAUUCUGCAAUUUUUCUGUUAUGCUCUUUUCGAUUUGUUUCACUUGUUGUUUAAGUGUACCUAUUGUCUCGUUUUUAAAAUCAUCAUCAUUCCAAAUUAAACAGAAUUCAUUUAUUUCAGCACAA